rnacentral:rRNA from 1 species
GACGAACGCUGGCGGCGUGCUUAACACAUGCAAGUCGAACGGAAAGGCCCCUUUGGGGGUACUCGAGUGGCGAACGGGUGAGUAACACGUGAGUAACCUGCCCUUGACUUCGGGAUAACUUCAGGAAACUGGGGCUAAUACCGGAUAGGAAUCCUUGCUGCAUGGUGGGGGUUGGAAAGCUUCGGCGGGUUUGGAUGGACUCGCGGCUUAUAGGCUUGUUGGUGGGGUAGUGGCUUACCAAGGCUUUGACGGGUAGCCGGCCUGAGAGGGCGAGCGGCCACAUUGGGUCUGAGGGGCGGCACAGACUCGUAAGGGAGGAAGCAGUGGGGAAUACUGCACAAUGGGCGGAGGCCUGAUGAAGCAAGGCCGCGUGCGGGAUGACGGCCUUGGGGUUGUAAAACGCUUUCAGCAGGGGCGAAGCUUGUGGUGACGGUACCUGAAGAAGAAGCACCGGCUAACUACGUG